GUCCUGGAGGCGGAGGCUCGCCCGGCUGGCCCCUCUUAAAGGGACGCCUCCAGCUCACAUGCUCCUCCUGCCGCCGAGCCUCCGCGAGCCGCGCUCUAGCAGCCUGGGAGCUGGCGCUGCGAGAGGCCGACCCCUGGGGACAAGUGAUGCGUGUGGGGUCCCUUGUGGGUGGCAGGAGAGAAUGGUGUUGCUUUCUCUCCUGCAUUUGGGGAAGUGAGGCUCGCUGUCGUUUCCUGGAGUCUACUUGGGCUUGCUCUUUGUAGUCCUUCAGCCUCAGAAGCAACAUGGAGACUGGUUUCAGCCCAGCUAGAAAGCGCUAGAGAGAGGGAGGGGCUCAGGCCAGUUGAGUAGGUUUGGGGGAGAAAGUUGUUUGCCUAAGUUUAUACAGCUAAGAACAAGCCAAGGAUGGACCCAUCUCUGGGCUACAAGAUAGACGCUUCCGCCCUCUCCCUCUGAUUGUGGAUGUGUCCCUGCGUUGACUAUGUAGACUGCGCUACGGAAAGAACGAUGAAUAAUCCGAGUUUCCUGUUCAGACUUUAGAGGAAGAGUCUAAGGCAAGAAUCUCUCCUGACGACAGGGCAUCAAGUCUAGUAACUUUUCCAACCAUUUUCUGAAAGGCUCCAAACCUUUUUUAUGAUGGGAUUACAGAGAAAUAAAAGGAGCCAAGGACAGCAAAGCUUUAUUCGCUAAGAUGUCAUGAAGUCUACUGCCACGUGCCUGCCUCUCUCAUCCUAGACUGCUUUAACAAUUAUUUUCAUCCUUUUUAACUUUGCUCAAGAAGAUCCAUACCAUGAAUGAGGAAACUUGUGGCCACUUGGCAUAGCGUCUCUGCUUCUCUCCCUUGCUGUAAAGUUUCUUCUUCUGUUCUGUGAUUUAAUGCCGAGUAUUUGAGUGGCCCAUCUCAACCCACUGCAGGAUGAGUACUCUCCAAGCUCAAAGAAGUUCUUCUCCACUCCUAGAAAUCUCAGCAUGUCAUCCAUGAACAGGAUCAUCUGAUGAACAUCUAGAAGAAACUGCCUUUGAGGAAGCACACAUUUUAAUUAUACAUUAUAUAGUAUUUUACCAAAAUGUGAUUUGUGGUUACAAAGAUUAAUCUUCAGUAUAACUUAGUAUCAAUGAUACAGUAAAAAAAAUAAGAUAGAGCAGGCUCCACACACACACACACACACACACACACACACACACACAAAAUGAAAAUCUAAUACGACAAAGAAAAUAGCUUUGUUUUGUUUUCUAGUUAAGAAAUUGGUAUUGAAUUUAUUUAGCAAAAUUUUAAACUAUUCAACAAAAUCUUAGAACAAAAUUAAACUGUCUAGGUUGAAGUGCUAAAUAUAUCUUAUUAAAAUUAAUAUUUUACUUACUAUAAUGAUUUAAAGGAAUGCAUUUUAAAAAAAACUUGGUGGAUCUUAUUAAACUCACCAGGGUGGGACUCAUGCAUCCACGAUAUUUUAAAUUCUGACUUUACUACUCCUCUUGUGUUGGGGAUGGUCUUGUGCACUGUGUAUUCAGAUGCUGAUUUCUGUGCCCCUGAGAGUCAGGUAGCAGUCUGGACAAGAGCUUUGUCAUGACCAUUGAAGAAUCUCCUGUAUCAAUGUUGCAUAAAGAAUGCUGCCCAAUUAUCCUGAUUGGUUAAUAAAGAAGCUGAUUAGCCAGUAUCUGGACAGAGAGGACAUGAAGAGGGACUUCCAUGCACAAUGAGGGCUCUCAGGUAGGAAGGAGGGAGAAGAAGAAGGUACAGAGAAGAGGGGAUUUCCAUGAGGCAGGUUGCCAUGAGGAGUUUGCUAGGAUGAAUGACAAAGAUGGAGCAGAAACAGCCAAAAAGGACUAAGAUGAUUCUUUGAGAUGGGAGAGGAGGACGAAUUUAUCAGGAUUGCAGCACUCUCCCGUUCUCUUGGGAGACACUAUCUUGAGGAAUGUAAUAAGGAACGGAGCAAAGUAAGAAAACCAUGAAAGUCAAACUUGGUGAGCAAGAAAGAAUUAUUGACGUUACUUACGGAGUUGUUUGCACUGGACUAGAGCAUUACCACACUACACUCGCAACAAGCUGUAUUAAAUACUGGCCAGGA